UGUCCUGCUGCUGCUAAAAUACAAAUAAGGAACACAAGGAAAUACCUGACUGAGGGUUGUUCCCAGCUUGGGAAGCCAGGAGGGGAGUAGCUGAUCAGCCUCAGUGUAAUCCUGCAGUGUUCCUCAGCUUCAAGACACAAGGAAGCCCUUCAGAAGCUGUUCACCAUUUCUGAGACAUCUUGUGAAUUUUGUGUUAAAACCCCAAUGUUUGCAGAGUAAUUUGGUUGGCUGGCCAAACUGUCGAGCCUGAUCCCAGAGUUGGAAAGAGCACAGGAAUUCCAAGGAGUUUCAUGCUGGAGGUGAAAGAUCCCAAUACAAAGGGCGCUCUGCUGACAAGAACUGGGAAAUAUGCAAUAGC